UAAUACGGAGGGUGCAAGCGUUAAUCGGAAUUACUGGGCGUAAAGCGCACGCAGGCGGUUUGUUAAGUCAGAUGUGAAAUCCCCGGGCUCAACCUGGGAACUGCAUUUGAAACUGGCAAGCUAGAGUCUCGUAGAGGGGGGUAGAAUUCCAGGUGUAGCGGUGAAAUGCGUAGAGAUCUGGAGGAAUACCGGUGGCGAAGGCGGCCCCCUGGACGAAGACUGACGCUUAGGUGCGAAAGCGUGGGGAGCAAACAGGAUUAGAUACCCUGGUAGUCCACGCUGUAAACGAUGUCGAUUUGGAGGUUGUGCCCUUGAGGCGUGGCUUCCGGAGCUAACGCGUUAAAUCGACCGCCUGGGGAGUACGGCCGCAAGGUUA
rnacentral:rRNA from 1 species